AGCAGCCGCGGUAAUUCCAGCUCCAAUAGCGUAUAUUAAAGUUGUUGCAGUUAAAAAGCUCGUAGUUGAAUUUCGGGAUCAAUAUAUCGGUCGUGCCUUGGUACGUACUGGUAUCAUUGGUUUCUCCUUUCUGACGAACCAUGAUGUCAUUAAUUUGGUGUUAUGGGAAGUUAGGACUGUUACUUUGAAAAAUUAGAGUGUUUAAAGCAGGCUUUAGCUUGAAUACAUUAGCAUGGAAUAAUGAAAUAGGACGUUCGAACCUAUUUUGUUGGUUUCUAGGAUCAACGUAAUGAUUAAUAGGGAUAGUUGGGGGCAUUAGUAUUCAAUUGUCAGAGGUGAAAUUCUUGGAUUUAUUGAAGACUAACUACUGCGAAAGCAUUUGCCAAGGAUGUUUUCAUUAAUCAAGAACGAAAGUUAGGGGAUCGAAGACGAUCAGAUACCGUCGUAGUCUUAACCAUAAACUAUGCCGACUAGGGAUCGGAUGAUGUUAAUUUUUAAUGUACUCAUUCGGCGCCUUACG
rnacentral:misc_RNA from 1 species